rnacentral:rRNA from 1 species
GACAGAGGGUGCAAGCGUUGUUCGGAAUUACUGGGCGUAAAGCGCGUGUAGGCGGCCCUGCAAGUCUGGUGUGAAAUCCCACGGCUCAACCGUGGAAGUGCACUCGAAACUGCAGGGCUAGAGUCCUGGAGAGGAAGGUGGAAUGCUUGGUGUAGAGGUGAAAUUCGUAGAUAUCAAGCGGAACACCGGUGGCGAAGGCGGCCUGCUGGACAGUGACUGACGCUGAGACGCGAAAGCGUGGGGAGCAAACAGG